GACAGUUAUUCAUCUAGCCUGAAUACGCCCAAACCAAGAUACACCACCCCCCCCCCCCUUUUUUUUAAUAAAACAUUCUUUAUCUUUAGUAUAUGCGAUAAAAAAAGAAACCAGAGCUAUAGCAGUAGUACCGCAAGGGAAAAAUGAAAUAGUAAUGAAAUAAUUUACAACCUUAUAAAGCAGAGAUUUUACCUCGUACCUUUUGCAUCAUGGCCUAACAAGUCUAACCAGGCAAAACGAUUCUAGUCUGGCCCCCCGAAACUAAGUGAGCUACUCCGGAGCACUAAAAGUAACCCGUCUCUGUGGCAAAAGAGUGGGGAGAAUCCUGAGUAGAGGCGACAAACCUAUCGAACCUAGUGAUAGCUGGUUGCUCAGGAAAAGAAUUUUAGUUCUUUCUUAAAAAUCAUUAAGCACCAUUAAGCACCUAAUUUUUAAGAACUAUUCAAUAAGGGUACAGCCUUAUUGAAAAAGGACACAACCUAAACUUCAGGGUAAUGAUUAAACUCUUUAAGGUAAAAGGCUAAGUUGGCUUAAAAGCAGCCACCUUUUAGAAAGCGUCAAAGCUUCACCUUCCCACCUCCUUUUAUUUAAUUAAUUUCUCAAAACCCGUUAAUACUACUGAGCUGUUCUAUAAUAAUAUAGAAGUAUUUAUGUUAGGACUAGUAACACAGAAUUAUUUCUCUUAUAUGUGAGCGUACAUCAGCCUGAAUACACCACUGAUAAUUACCCAGUUUUGAGCAUAAAGUAAUAUUGACAUUCCAUGAUAACAUUACUUAGGCCACUGUUAACCUUACACAAGAACAUAAAAGAAAGAUAAAAAGUUUAAGAAGGAACUCGGCAAACACAAAUCCCGCCUGUUUACCAAAAACAUCGCCUUUUGAAUUAUAUAAAAGGUAACGCCUGCCCAGUGACAUCAUGUUCAACGGCCGCGGUAUUCUGACCGUGCGAAGGUAGCGUAAUCACUUGUCUUUUAAAUAAAGACUAGUAUGAAUGGCAUCACGAGGAUUUAGCUGUCUCCUUAGACUCAUCAGUGAAACUGAUCUCCCCGUGCAAAAGCGGGGAUAGACACAUAAGACGAGAAGACCCUAUGGAGCUUAAAACUAACAGCUGCCUAUACCAUCUGCUGAUAUAAACAGCACUAUAAUAAUAGAUCCAGCCUACGUUUUCAGUUGGGGUGACUAUGGAGAAAAACUGAUCCUCCAUGAAGAAACAAGCCUUGAGUUUUUACUCUACGCAUUAGCAAGCCUAACUUUAUUUGAUCCAAUAUAUUUGAUCAACAGACCAAGUUACCCUAGGGAUAACAGCGCAAUCCAUUUCAAGAGUCCUUAUCGACAAAUGGGUUUACGACCUCGAUGUUGGAUUAGGACACCCCAGUGGUGCAGCCGCUACUAAC
rnacentral:rRNA from 1 species